GAAUUAGGGGUUUUACAAACAAUUUGGUUACAAGAUAAAAUCAAAGCAAAUUGAUCUUGAUCAGCUCCAAAAAUGUGAAAAAUGAAAACCAACACUAAAUAAGAGGAAAACCAAACUGAACCAAAUCAAUAUUUGGUUUGUUUCUUCAAGUGCUAAUUUGUUUCUUGUUGCUUGGAUUUGUAUAGAUCUAAUGCAUUACUAACAUUGUUUGGCAAUCAAAUAUGUGCAUUUCUUUUUUCGUUUGUGAAUUAUUCAGCACUCCAAAUAGCAAAUACUUAGACCAACACUUUGCUCAUUGAUUUUUCAAAAUUUCAAACCUAAACCAAGCCAUUGGCGUAAAAAAGCUUAACCAAACCACAUUGGUUUGGUUAUAUGGAUUGACAUAUACUCCCUUAAUUG
rnacentral:misc_RNA from 1 species